ACGGGACACCUGCAUCUGCCAACAAGACUGGAAGCAGAAAGGGACAGAGACGGCGAAGUUUGACGGUCUGGAAAGCAGAGACCAGCAGGGCUGACUGCUUGGGAGCACGAGGGACAGCUCUCCACCGACCGAAGGAGGAGAAUGCUAUUUAUUUCAGCACCAAAUAUCCGGACAGCGCCUCUCGGGAGGUCCGAGAAGAGAACCGCGAUCUGUUUCAGCACCGGGGCUCAGGACAGUUCCCAGCGGGCUCCGUUUCGUCUCCAGAACCCUGGACAGCUCCUCCAGCCUCAGGGCUUUUGCCUCUGCUGUUCCUGCAGCUUGGAAUGCACUCCCUCCACCUCCAACCAGAGCUCCCCACAACUGACCCUGCCUUCUUCUGCAAGCUCCAUUUCAUCAAGGGAAACGAUCCUUAUUGCCUCACCAUUUCCCACGUGAAGUCUGUAUUGACAUUCUCAUAGACCUGGGAUAUUGUGUCUGCAGCACAUAGUCCAAUUAUUUUCAUGUUAUCUACUGACAGGUCUAUUUGUCUCCCUGUUACACUGUGAGCUCCGUGAGGGCAGAAACAAUGUUAGUAUUUUCACUGCUGUGUCCCCAGCGCCUGGUCCGGGGCCCGGCACACAGCAGGCAUAUAAUAAGCAUGUGUUGAAUCAAUAAAGGCAUCAAAGAAUAA
rnacentral:lncRNA from 1 species